UGCUCUAAGGAGGAAGUUUAGUUUUACCAAGAGAUAAAUUAAGACAUAACUAAGGAGUACUUGGGGUACCAAAGAUAAGACCCUUCCCACAAGUAUAUAAUGACUGUGAUACACUUGGUGUGUUAACAAUCAAUUGCAAGGUAAGUCACAAUAAAUUUGUUAGUAGUAAUAAAGUACUGAAAUUUGCAAGUGAUAUAUCUAAGAAUUAAUUGGAGCAGAUUCAGGUUAUCUCUAUAAUAACAUCACUUUGAUAUGUGUGCAUUUCAAUAUGCCUUCUGGGAGAGGAAGGGGGGAAAUUUUAUAGAUAGCUAUCAGACUGGCAUUAUGCUGUGAAUGUAUCAUGGAAAUAUGUCAUAAAUGUGAACAUCUGUCUUCUCUGCAAUAGUGAAGAAAAGUUGAAAACACCUGACCCAAAGAAUGUCUGACAAUGUAAAUUAUUUUUGUCACUUAGUUUCCAUUUCCCCUUCUAAUGGCAAUAGAAGGGGAUCUUAAAAUGGGGACCAUCCCCCAAAACACACACACUCCUGGGCUUGAGAUAGAAGCAACUUCACCCCUAGUUCCAGGAAUAGGUGUAGGCUCCAACAUUAGCCUCUCAAAGCUUUGCAUCCCUUUGGCUAUAGUGACUAGGAAAAAUUUUUUUUCUUUUCUUUGGCUGUGAUAACUAGCAGAAAGCAUUGAACCUUUUAUGGGAACUAUAUUUCCAAAGAAACCCCAAACCUAACAGUCUGUUUCUUUUCUAGGCUCACAGCUAAAGUUGAGUAGUCUCCAAAAAGGGCAUUUUCCUUAUGCCCACCUCUGGCAUAGGAAUGGAGAAUAAGGACCAGAAAGAUCAUCUAGUAGGAAGAGCCAGAGGUCAUGGUGGACAAUAAGGAAGAUCUUUACAGAGAACAGACCUAGAGGUUCCCAGUUGGCUGGCCAAGAAACUCACUUUACCAACAAGGAGACUCUUCUAUAUUCCUGCCGAUCAGGAUAUAAUAGAUGCUGUAGAAAAAUGACAGCUGUGUGCUAUUUUCCAUACAUUCACCCCUUUCCAGAGAUAGAAUUAUAUACUGAAGUCUCCUUAUAUCCAUGGAAUUCCCAAAAUUUACAAAGUCCUUAGUAGACAGUAAGCACUUCAUAAAUGUUGCCUGAAGAAAUGAACAAAUGAGUGAAUUAGGAUGAACUGUUUAUGUGACAGUCACUCCAAGCAAACCGGGAGCACACCAAAUAUAAGGAAUAUGUACAACCUCUAAUUUCUCUGCCUUAUAUACCUGACAGCUAAAAAACCACAGCAUGGAAUAGUAAUGGGCUGAAAUGUACAGAUUAAUGUACUGUUUUGAUAUGGCCAAUGUCAUGAAGAUGUGUUGAAGUGACCAUACUUGUUGAGUAUCCAGUGAAAUGGAUUUGUUCAGUCAUUCACAUUAAUGAGCAUUUUAUUGCAACAGACAUCAUUUCAGAUGACUAAACACUAAUGAAUAAAAUUCACUGCUUUGGAUUUUUUAAAGGCACAAAUUGCAGAGGAAAACAAUCAUUUUACUAGACUGAAAUGAAGAACUUUUCAAAGUUGAAAGAUAUAAAGAGAAUAAAGAGACAAAUGUUCACCUACAACACACACAGUAUUAGUAUCUAGAUUUCUUUUUAAAAUUCCUAAAAAUCAGGACACACGGCUGGCUCAGUCAGUUAAGUGUCUGACUCUUGGUUUUGGCUCAGGUCAUGAUCUCACAGUUCGUGUAUUUGAACCAACCAUUGGGCUCUGCAGCUGGCAGCAC